CUUGGGAGUACUGUGUUGAUUGUGUGAGUUUAUUAACAAAGAGUGAGAACGAGGUGCUAAGCGUCAUCCUCCCCAGAGCAGAAGAGACUAACUUUUAUUCCCAGGAACAUCAUCUGUCCCAUUGGUGGCACCAGGCCCUGCCUUCUGCUUGACUUGAGAGCUCUGGUUGAUUUGAUCCAUGCCACUAGAACUUUGUGUAUAUAACCCUUCUCAGACAAGAGCUUAUUUUGUUCUGGAAUAAUCCUGAGAAGAAAUGAUGGUCGGGGGGUUCAACAUUCAACUCCACACCCGCAGUUCCUGACACACACCUCCUUGUCUCCCUUCUUCAAAGCCUUCUAGAACCAUCACCAACACCCCUGUGGUUGACCAGCUCUUGUGCUCUCUAGGUAGGCACCCACGGGGAUGCUGGGAGGCUGCCGGGGCUUGGGACACUCUUCUCUAUUGCUCCAAGUGCCCUUCUACCCCCCACAACACUAGCUCCAAGUGCCCUGUCUUGCUGCUCUAGAUGGAUCUUCAUGAAGAUUCCUCUGCCCAUUUCACAUUUAGGUCAGGCGGGAGACCUGUGCCCAAGAGAGCUGCUGGCCUCUGCCUUGUGCGCCUGUGGCCAGGACAGAGCUAUGGUCUUAUGGGUAUGCACCUGCACAUGAGGUGCCUGCAGAAGCCAGAGAGGUAUAGGACCCCCUGGAGCUAAAAUGCCAGGCCACUGUAAGCCAAUUGAAUGGGCGCUGGGAGCCAGGAUUUCUUGGAGAGCAGCUGGCCUUUUAAGUGCUGAGCCAUCUCUUCAGCCCUUCAGCCUGCAUCGUCUUAAGGCCUGCCCUCCAGUGGAAACAGGGAGGCCCACCACCAGUGGAGGAUGUAGAUUCUAGCAUCUUUUGUACUUUCUUCUGAGCUACUCUGAAAUCUCUACCUUCACUUGUGUCAGACAGGGGCAAGGAAAGUCCUGGAGGCUGAUCGCUGGACAAUACAGUCAGAAGCGUGAGACAUCUCUAGAGUUCAGAAGUCGACAUAAUGUACACCUACAAUCUCCAACACUGGGAGAUGGAGGCAGAAGGAGCCGGAGUUCAAAAUCAUCCUCAGCUACAUAGUGAGUCCGAAGCCAACCUGGGCUACCUGAAACCUUAAAACUCUAAGAAAUCCAUUUGUCCCUGACUCCCACUCCUAUACAGCCAUCUUCCUUGUCCUGUCAUGUCACAACACUGUCCCCUGUCCCAAGCCCACCACCAACCCAAUGCCUUCAGUUCGCCUGGGCAGCCCUGCCCUCUCUACCUUUGUCCGCCAAUGCCCUUCAUGAACCUCUCUCCUAAUUCCUCUCCUCUUGGGGCUUCCAUGUCUUUCUUUUGCGAUUCGAGCGUGCAACCUUGCC
rnacentral:lncRNA from 1 species